GUAUAUAGACAUAUUUUAAAAUGUAGAUUCACUCAUUUUGAUCCGUAUGUAGACCAUUAGUGAAAUCUCUUCAAAGACUUAUAUUUAGGAACGGAGGGAGUAAUAGGCGCCGACACCAAGCAAGUAGUAGCCAGACGUCAUUUACAGGAACACGAAGUCAGACANNNNNNUACAGCAUUGCCUAGCACUACAGAUAGAAAAGAGUACCUAGGUUUCGAGAUUAUACAGCAUUCAGAAGGUCGUCGCCAGUUAGGGGUGGUGCUUCUCAGGCUCGGAUGUGAUGAUUGAUCAAGUGACCAUCCAGAUUU
rnacentral:lncRNA from 1 species